UUCUUCCCAGACCUCAUUUAAAGGUUGGCAAGGGAGGAAAGAGUAUUUUGCUGGGGGUCUCUGCGUUCCUGAAGCCUUCAAAGGGCAGCCAUAUGCUCACAGUGCCUCCAUUCACUUCGGCAGCUGCGUAUGGUAGAUGCAGUGACCGGAAGCUGCAGUCCAGCUUUCAGAUGAUCAGAUGAUGCAAAGUCUGGAAAAUAACAAACAUGAGCUCUCCAAGCAUGGGCAUAACUGUUACUGCACGCGCGCUGUAAUUCAGGAACUAACAGAUGUCCCUAAGCUUCAUGCCUGGCCCAAAAGGGACAUAAGAAGGGAACUGGUUCAGGGUUUAUGCACAGCUGCACGGAUCAGAUGACACUGUCAGCUGAAUCUGCCCCUAGCCAGUCCUGAUUUAUCAGAGCAGGAACCCUGACCUUUAUUUGGGCACAGAAAUACCAUCUUGGAAAGCUCUGCAAAGAAGAAGAGCAAGGACCGUAAGAAUCCAAGGCAUUUCUGUAAAGAAGAGUCUGGUUACAGACUGAGAUAUGCAGGCCUCCAUAGCUGUGUGCUCCUCACUGGCGUUUGUCAGAAGCAGUCCCAAAGGAUGCUUUCCAGGGGCCGGGCUUGUGGAACAUUUAACAUUUCCACUUAUGUUUAUCUGGGCGUGACAAGCACUGCUACACAUGAUGGUCUUAUUCCCAACUCUGCAAGGUGGGAGCUCAGACUUAUGGUAAUCAGUGGCCGUUUGGUGGCCAGCACAGAAUGAGUUGGCAGCUGCCAUCAGGUCCUGUGUCAUGAAACCACUGUGCACUGGCAUCCUCGGCUCAACAGAAGAAGCCAGGACGUUUUUCUCAUUCUUACUUGGAACACAAAACCUGAGCUUGAGCUCUGCUUUCACAAGGCAUGGUGGCUGAAGAUAGCUCUGCAGAUCUGCAUGACCAGGACUUGACCAUAUUUCAAAACACGGCUGAAAAGGGGAAGUGGAGAACCCCUGUGGAUUUCCUUUCAACCUCAUCUUCCUGGAUUGGGCAAAUGAUGCUUGGGACUGUUAUGGCUGCAGCUGAGCUCUGAAGGCACACAGCCAGGGCACUGAUGCCAUGAGACAGGGCACUGGGUUUUCUCCCAUUGGCCUCAGUGAGACAGCGGAGGAAAAAUAGGCUGCAGCCUGGGUUGUACUGUCAGGUCUGACCAUGGGAGAAUGCUUUCUUUUAAGCUUAGCAGUUACCUAUUCACAAAUGCUCCUCUUUCAAAGUCAUAGAAUCAUAGAAUCUUAAGGUUGGAAAAGACCACUUAAGAGCAUCUAGUCCAAUCACCAGCCCAUCACCACCACGCCCACUAAACUGUGCCACUCAAUGCCACAAGUCCAUAGGAUAACUUUUUUUUUUCCUACUGUAAAGCAACAGGGACUUUCCAUUUGUAGAAAGAAGGGAGCAUAGGUUGGUGGCUACAGCUCAGAAGCAGCAGCUUGGAGAUAAAGCAUCCAUUAACUUGCAGGCACUUGCAGAGUUCUAAUUAUGGGCAGCUCUUAAUCUCUUGUGUUGUUUUUUCCUAAAAUGCACUGAUAAAGAGUGAGAACUAAUCCUGAAAGACAAGGCACUCAAAGGGACAUCAGCAGCCUCUCUGCAGAGCAGACUAAUGUUGUGCAAUGCUUAUCUGCAGAAAUCUGCAAUUCCGAGUACAAGGAGUGCCCUGUUUGCAGCAAGGCCAGGUCUAUGGCAGUGGCCCCAUGGGAACUGCAGUUUCCCUCCCAGACAUGACUUAGUUCAAGACCUUUGCCUCAACCUUUGCAGCAACUUGUGUACCAUCAAUUUUCAGUUUCAUAGUUUUAGAAAGCAGCACAAAAAGCCCCUCAAAAGAGCAAGUAGAGUGCUACCCAGCUGCAUGGAUGGUCACAAGGAAAUCAGUAGACCAGGAAAUGGAAGGACAAGGAGAAGUGUCAAAGUUAGAGAGCAAAUUUAUUUAUCACAGGACUUGUUCUUCCACUUGCACACAUUUCCUUCUGCAUGGUGUCCUACUGUCCGUCUCUGUGGGGUUGUGGGGAACGACCACACAUCUCUGUUUCCUCACUUGUCCUGGAGGUCCUGAAAUGCAGAGGUGCCUGCAUUGUUGUUUCACUAACACAGCUAGUUCUUAAUGGCCCUGUGAUGUUUACUUAGGUCCUGUGGCCCCACAGGGGAAAAAAUGGCUCUUUUAGCACAAGAAGCCUGAUGGAAAGGGUGGUUUAUGAGAGGAACAAAGUUUUGGGAAGAGAGGAAAAGUCAAAUGAGUGCAAACACCAAAGCUAUUCCCUUGCUUGAAAGGAAUACUAAGAAAACUUGCUCAGUGGGUCGUGAUGAGCUCAUUCAGUCCGUUAGAUUACUGGAAAAAUCUUCCACUUUGAGAAGUAUGCAUGCGUCUGUGUUGAGUCAGAAUCUGGCAGAGCUGCUUUAGUACACAUUUUUGUUGUGAAAAAGUCCCUUUUGUCUUUUGUGAACCUGAAAAAUUUCUGGCCUGAGUAGGCUCUAUGUUUCAAAGUUUUUUGCACAGAAAAUGUAGGCUCUGCACUGUUGCGUGGCAGUGUGGUCGUAGGCAGUGUGGUAUCUCUGGGCCUAGGGUGGGUUGGUUUCUUACUUGCACUUUUUUCCAGUGUUGUGCAUCCCUUUCUUGCUGUCCAGGCAGCUUUUAUGCAGUGUACAAAUAGUGGUGCAUGAAAACAUUGCAGGCACACCCCUGCACAUGCUCAUGUACAAUUCAUGGUUCCAAAAGUUUGCUGUACGCGUAACAACUUUUUUCUGCUGAACUUCUUGGCAUACUUUCAGUGCAGAGCUGGCAGCCUUCGUACAAUGAAUGCAGCCUAAAGUGUGGGGGCUCAGAGAAAAUAAUGAGAUCUGUGACACUGAGAAAACACAGUCACAGACACCACAGCACUACUCUGGGAUGAGCACAGUAGCUGCAGGGGAGGGGUCAUGGUCAAAUAUGCUAUUUCAAGCAAAAUCUGAGAGGAGGAUGUGUGCUUGGCCACAGGAAGAGCGUUGUCUUAGUCACAGCAGUUAAUCAUGCAACAUGAAGAGAAGUACGUACAGCAAGAUUUCUGUUUCCAGCAGUUUUUCCUCCUCUGAAAUGACUUGCAUAUAUUUUCUCCUUGCUAUUUGCAGUAUGGCAGCAUCUGCGCCCGGCCUUGAUGAAAAGCCGGCAGCUCCAGGCGGUGUGAGCCACACUGCCGUCACCAAGCUAACCUCCCCAUGCCUCUUGCAGGCAGACAGAGACAAGGAGAGAAAAAAAAUGUCCGGUGACGUCAAUAAAGACCACAUUCUGCUGGAUAAUAUUACUGUGUGCCUCAACCGCCCACUCCCUUUAAUUUACUAGAAGCUAAGCAAGCUGUUUUGAAACCCAUAGCUUCCAGCAUGUUUACGCUGCUCUCCCUCAACCAAAGGCUACUAAUUGUCAGGAGCUUGAAAGCUACCUGAUGCCUCGUUCAAAGCGCUGAAGCAGAGGGGAUUUCCAUGAGUAAUAAUUUCAGUCUGUGCCUGCGCAGCACACCGUAGGCUAGAGUAAAUUGAUCCAGCUGCUUGCAAGGCUGGAUGGAAAAGUGCCCAGGGGGGCCAGAGCGCAGCACCAGAUGGAGUUAGAUGUCAUCACGUGGGGCUCCCAGCUGCUGGGCAUGCUCCAGCCUGGCUCCCAGCAGCAGCAGCAGCUCUGCAGGCUGGGCUGCACUGCUCGCAGCAUGUGGUUGGGUCGCCAGUGCGUGUUGCAACAUCUUCUCUUGUAACGAAGAGGACAAUUUUGGAUUAGCCAGAACCGUUGUCUUUUGCUCAGCUGCAAUCUUCUCUGUGACAACGACUAAAAAAGCUUGUGAGAGGCCGGCUGCCUCCACAAAUAACCAGAACUGGCAGGAUUAACCUGUAACCCGGGGCGGUGUAUACACACAUCCCACCAGCCAGAUGGCAGAGUUCAAAGAUCCGCUCACUUCCUGGCCGAGGUUGCAAAAGUUAAUUUUUAUCCUUGUUAAAAAGAAGUAAGAAAACAUAGCAAUAAAAUGUGUGCUGCUUGCUAUCUCUGGUUUUAAUCACCCUUGUUUUAUUCCUUUGCAUUUUGCUAUUAAAUAGGUUUGGGGGAUGUUAGGGAAAGGCAUUUUUUUUCUCUUGUGGAGAUGUUUAAAAUCCUGCUUGGUGUCUUUGUUAUUUUACUGGGGUAUUUGUGUGAUCAAUUCAAUUUAGUCCUUUGGCAAGGAGUGCAAAAUAAGAGGAACUAAUUAAAAUAGCAGGAAUGCAGUUCACCAUUUUUUUUCCAAAUGAGCAAUUCAAUUAGAAGCACAGCGAGAGCUGGCACCCUGGAUCUGGAGGCUCCUAUGUGGAGGCUCCUGCAGGUCUGAGGCUGCUGCAGCCGGGGCCCUCUUGCCAGCAGUGUGGGGAAAGCACCGCAAUCACGCAGUACUGCAACAUGGGGACAUUGUGCCACUCAUGUUUGUACACAUGCUAGAGCAAAAGUCAGCAUAUCUAACCAUGAGGGCACUCUAGGUCCUUCCUUGGCCUUGAACAUCUGACUUUCCUUACCUCAGUGCUAACUGUGACAAGAAAGGCUGUAGAGUGUGAGGUUCUGAUAAGCACUGGUGCGCACUGCAAUCAUAUGGAUGUCAUGAUGUGUAGGCAAAGGUGAGCAUCCCAGCCAGCAGAUUGCAGGAGCAGGAGGGGAAGAGUAAAGUUCACGGGCUGUUUUCAUGAAGGUUUGUCCUUGCUGGCUGAGCCAUUAUUGAACAUGGCUGAAGCUGCUGGCAGUGCAGCCACAAACCUGCAGGUACCCUUCAGGAGAACAGCACUGGGAGUUCCAGGCAGGGAGUUCAUGAUUAAUUUUGCAGGCAUUUAUUGUGCAAUAUGUAAUGGCCACCAGCCAGCUCAGAAGUUAAGCCAGAAGAUGACUGUCAAAUGAAACAGUUACGUUUGGCAGAUCUUUCCGAAGCUGCUGUGCAAAACAGGCAUCUUGAAGCUAAUUUUUGGGUUUUCCAGAUCUUCUGCACAGCUUGUUCUUGUAUCAUGGUCCUUUUCAUUUCCCCCUUUCUAGCAGAUGAAUUGGUUUUCACUUGCAUGCUGUGUAAGUUUUAGUCAGGAUUUUUCCUAUAGGCAGCACUCUCUGUGCCCUGCAAUCAGCAGCAGCUCUCUCCUGGUGAUUCGUCCUU